rnacentral:misc_RNA from 1 species
GAUGAAGAACGUAGCGAAAUGCGAUAAGUAAUGUGAAUUGCAGAAUUCAGUGAAUCAUCGAAUCUUUGAACGCACAUUGCGCCCCUUGGUAUUCCGAGGGGCAUGCCUGUUCGAGCGUCAUAUUAACCACUCCCGCUUGCGGGGUCUUGGGCUUCGCCUCCGGGCGGGCCUUAAAAUCAGUGGCGGUGCCGUCGGGCUCUACGCGUAGUAAAUUUUCUCGCGAUAGGGUCCCGGUGGAUGCUUGCCAACAACCCCCAACUUCUUAGGGUUGACCUCGGAUCAGGUAGGGAUACCCGCUGAACUUAAGCAUAUCAAUAAGCGGAGGA